rnacentral:rRNA from 1 species
AGGACGAACGCUGGCGGCGUGCUUAACACAUGCAAGUCGAACGGACGAUUCCCCUUCGGGGGAAAAGUUAGUGGCGGACGGGUGAGUAACGCGUGAGUAACCUGCCUUGGAGUGGGGAAUAACACAGGGAAACUUGUGCUAAUACCGCAUAACAUCGCGAAGGGGCAUCCAUUUGCGAUCAAAGAUUUAUUGCUCCAAGAUGGGCUCGCGUCCGAUUAGAUAGUUGGCGGGGUAACGGCCCACCAAGUCGACGAUCGGUAGCCGGACUGAGAGGUUGGCCGGCCACAUUGGGACUGAGAUACGGCCCAGACUCCUACGGGAGGCAGCAGUGAGGAAUAUUAGGCAAUGGGGGAAAAACCCCCUGACCUAGCGACGCCGCGUGAAGGAUGAAGGUUUUCGGAUUGUAAACUUCUUUUAUGAGGGACGAUAGUGACGGUACCUCAUGAAUAAGCCACGGCUAACUACGUGCCAGCCGCCGC